CUGGGGCUGCCUGCGGCCCUUCUCCUCUUCUGACCACCUCGGACAUUGCUUUUGUGAGCCUUGAGAGCGAAGCAACGCGAGGCCGGUCUGAAACCCCCCGUUCAACCAUGCCCCAGCCGGA
rnacentral:precursor_RNA from 12 species